CGGACAUGAGUAAGUGGCAGGCUCUCGGGUGGUAAUGUGGGUGUAGAAAGAGGCACGUGGCUGGCGCCUUCCCUCCCUCCUCGCCCCUCCCUUUCCACUCUGGGCCCUCCCGCAGGCCAGGGCAGCCUCCAAAAUGGCCCCUCUGGCAUGCCAGGCCUAACCCAGAGGCCCCCUCUGGGGCCACCCCCCAACCCAGCUUCCAGGAAAGCAGCCCCACGUGGCCGCUGGCAGAGCCAGCGCUGGGACCCCGCCAGACCCAGAACCAGCCUGCAAAGGGAUCCAUGUUGGCUGGAUGCCUGCCUGUGGUUGUGGCUUUGGGAGCCCCAGAUCUUGAUUCUCCCCAGAACUCUGACAGUGACCGAGGCCUCUCUCUGACGCUGGGUGACACAGAUUCUGGCUGUCAGGGGUCUCUUCUGGUCCCUCCCUAUUUUCAGCCACAUCCUGGUAAACGAGCUGUCGGAGAACCCCACGGAAAGACGGUUCUUCUUCCAGCUGGAGUCCCAUCGCGCAGCCCUCAUCCUCUCCAGCUUGCCAUGUUGGACAUUCCCAACGGCACCCUGGCCCCAGCAUUCCAAAAACAUUCACAGCCCCGGGAGCAGUCGGAAGGAUGGGGAGGAGACCCAGGAAGAAUGGAGACUCUUAGAGAACCCACACCGUGCAGCUAAGGCCAUGAGCCGGCAAAAAAAAACUUCCUUGGUAAAACAAAAGCCAAAAUUAAAAUAGCUAAAUAAAUAAAUAAACAGCUUAAAAACA
rnacentral:lncRNA from 1 species